rnacentral:rRNA from 1 species
UACAGAGGUCUCAAGCGUUGUUCGGAUUCAUUGGGCGUAAAGGGUGCGUAGGCGGCGCGGUUAGUCGGGUGUGAAAUCUCGGAGCUUAACUCCGAAACUGCAUUCGAUACUGCCGUGCUUGAGGACUGGAGAGGAGACUGGAAUUUACGGUGUAGCGGUGAAAUGCGUAGAUAUCGUAAGGAAGACCAGUGGCGAAGGCGGGUCUCUGGACAGUUCCUGACGCUGAGGCACGAAGGCCAGGGGAGCAAACGGG